rnacentral:rRNA from 1 species
AACGAACGCUGGCGGCAUGCCUAACACAUGCAAGUCGAACGAGACCUUCGGGUCUAGUGGCGCACGGGUGCGUAACGCGUGGGAACCUGCCUUUAGGUUCGGAAUAACUCAGAGAAAUUUGAGCUAAUACCGGAUAAUGUCUUCGGACCAAAGAUUUAUCGCCUUUAGAUGGGCCCGCGUUGGAUUAGCUAGUUGGUGGGGUAAAGGCCUACCAAGGCGACGAUCCAUAGCUGGUCUGAGAGGAUGAUCAGCCACACUGGGACUGAGACACGGCCCAGACUCUACGGGAGGCAGCAGUGGGGAAUAUGGACGAAUGGGCGGAAAGCCUGAUCCAGCAAUAGCCGCGUGAGUGAUGAAGGCU